UACGUAGGGUGCAAGCGUUGUCCGGAUUUAUUGGGCGUAAAGAGCUCGUAGGCGGUUUGUCGCGUCGGAUGUGAAAACCCAGGGCUCAACCCUGGGCCUGCAUUCGAUACGGGCAGACUAGAGUAUGGCAGGGGAGACUGGAAUUCCUGGUGUAGCGGUGAAAUGCGCAGAUAUCAGGAGGAACACCGAUGGCGAAGGCAGGUCUCUGGGCCAUUACUGACACUGAGAAGCGAAAGCAUGGGGAGCGAACAGG
rnacentral:rRNA from 1 species